rnacentral:lncRNA from 13 species
AUAACCACAGUAAUAAGAAGUAUUUAGAAGUCCCAGCUUGAUAUGCAAUCCUCUGAAUGUGUUGAGUGUGAGGUAAUACAGACAUAAUAUGCUGGAAAACUUCUUAAAAAAAACCCCAAUGUAUAAUGGCUGGUGUAAUAUCACAGUAAAGUUAAUGUGAUUUUCAUGACUUAUCCUCUCAUUACCUGGAGUACACAGAUCAUUGCAAUCAUAAUAUUGCUAUGAAGAAAUUUGAUCAUUUGACAAAAUGCUUCAUUUGGUUAGCAAAAGGGGGAAAAAAAUCCCCUGACCCUCAGCCAGCUACAUAUUAUUACAAUGGCCUACCAAGUCAAGAUGUGCAAGAGGAGAAAUUAUUUGAUUAGCUGCUGUACUGAGUACCUUCAUUUUAAUAUAAAUAGAACAUUUCAUCAUGCAAUGGCAAAGAAUCAUGGAAAGUACAACUCCCGGUAUUACUGGACAUGAUGCAUAAGAUGUAUUUCAAAAGAGGUCCAAAAAAGCAAAAAGAACAAGACAAAUUUAAUAAAAGGGUAUCAAUAUUAUUUACCUAAAUAUAA